CUUGGCCUGCACCUCGUCCCUCCCUGCAGGUGCAUGGUGCCCAACGGGACGCUGCACCUCACCUGGGUCAAAGCCCGGAGCAGACUGACGAGGGCAUCCACCAGUGCCUCCCUGGGUGUGGGCACCUUCAUCUCCACCCGCGCCAGGCUCAGCAUUGUUGAGUUUGAUGAGCAGCCUCAGGAUGUGAUGGUCAUGGAGGGGGAGCGCACUGGGUUCCCGUGUGCCCUGGACACAAUGCCGGCGCCCUCCAUCAAGGGGUUCAGGAACAGUCACUCGCUGGAGCCAGACUCACGAAUGACACGCCUUCCAUCUGGUGCCUUAGAAAUAGAGAACGUAGCCAUGCCGGGGAGUACUGCUGCCAAGCCAACAAGAGCAAGGUGUCCCAGCAAGCCACACUCACAGUCAAGGAAGCCUACGUGCUCACUGCUCAGCCAAAGUCCACGAUAGGCAAGGUGGGGGACAAGAUCACCCUGGACUGUGCGGCCAACGGCUACCCGGAGCCAGCCGUGGUGUGGCUCAAGGACGGCGCCACCAUCCACAUGGCGGACCUGGACACACUGUUCUGCGGCACCACCAGCAGCAGCCUGCACAUCCAUGGCCUGCAGGAGGAGGGCGAGGGGACGUACAGGUGCCGGGCGGAGAACAGGGACCUGGACACACUGUUCUGCGGCACCACCACCAGCAGCCUGCACAUCCAUGGCCUGCAGGAGGAGGACGAGGGGACGUACAGGUGCCGGGCGGAAAACAGGGACCUGGACAUACUGUUCUGCGGCACCACCAGCAGCAGCCUGCACAUCCAUGGCCUGCAGGAGGAGGACGAGGGGACGUACAGGUGCCGGGCGGAGAACAGGGACCUGGACACACUGUUCUGCGGCACCACCACCAGCAGCCUGCACAUCCAUGGCCUGCAGGAGGAGGCCGAGGGGACGUACAGGUGCCGGGCAGAGAACAGGGAGGAUUCGCUCAACGCCGUGGCCCACAUACAGGUCCAAGUUGCUCCGAGGUUUCUGAGGCAGCCGGCCAACGCUCUCGCCUAUGAGAAGGAGAACGUGGAGCUGGAGUGCAGCGUGUACGGCCAGCCAGAGCCCUCGCUCCACUGGCUCAAGAACGGCGAGCUGCUGGUGGAGACGGAAUACUUUCAGAGUGUGAGCGGCAACAACCUGCAGAUCCUUGGCCUGGUGCGCCAGGAGGACUCCGGGAUGUACCAGUGUGUGGCGCACAGCUCCGCCGGGGACGCCCAGCUGUGUGUCCUUGAGUCAAAGAACGCGUCCAGAACGUGAGUGCAGCUCCUCCAGCAAGGGACUGGAUGAAUACAAGACCCAGAUCAGGGACCUAAGUCCCGGGAGUAACUACAUGGUCCGGCGGCCUGGUGGGCGCCUCCACACACGAGGUGCGGGUGUUCACCAAGCCGGACCUGGACCUGCCCUCCGCCCCAGAGUCUGAAAGUUGUCCCCACCUCACCCACCAAUCUGGAGGUCACUUGGCCGCCGCCCGUACUGGCCAAAACGCCCAUCACGGGAUACACCAUGUUCUAUACGCAGGUUGGGUCAGCAGAAGAACACGAGGUAAAGGUCACUGGUACGUCAUGUGACCUCCAAGGCCUGGACCAGUUCACAGAGGACAGCGUGUGGCUCACCGCCGUCAACAGUAAUGGUGGGGGAGACGCCACCCCGGAGGUCACUGCCAGAACCUUCUCAGACGUGCCCUCAAAGGAGCCUUAGAAUGUGAGUGUUCAGGCUGCCAGC